GCCGAGAACAAGCUUCUUUGCGAGUGUUGACGAGACAUUGGACAAGACCCAAAGACGGGCGCCGACCAAAAGCAUUCAACCUUUUGGAAUCGUGUGCACCGAGAGUUUCAUGAGCGCAAGAAGUUUCCACCUUACCAAUUUGUGAGCACGCGCGGGUGGGUCUCCAUUUCCAAGCGGUGGAGGGUGAUCCAACAAGAGUGCAACAAGUUUUGCGCCACUCUUGAGAGCGUCAAGGCCCGCCCCGUGAGCGGCAUCGACAUGUAAGACAUGGUAUGA
rnacentral:rRNA from 1 species